CAGCAGUAACUACUAUUGGUAUUGAGUAUAUACUCUCUGUGCUUUCCCUCAUGCAUUUAUCUGCAAAAUCUACUCAAAAUGACAUGUGUUUUCAUUUGGACAUAUAGCUGCAGAUAAAUGCAUGAGGGAAAGCACAGAGAGUAUAUACUCAAUACCAAUAGUAGUUACUGCU
rnacentral:miRNA from 1 species